AAAAAAAUCUUAUUAGUAUUGUCGAUUAAUUUGAUGUGCAAUAACUUAUUAGGCUCAAACCAUCAGUCUAAAAAUACUUAAAUUUAGUUAUUAUACAAGUGUUCAUGAUCUUUUACAUACUCAAUCACAGUCAUAUUUCUCAUUCAAUGUGGAACUAUUUAGUGUCUCAUAAACCCCUUCCGUUAGGCUCUGACAUACUCGUCAGCCAAAUCGCACACACAAUUCAAAAUCACCAGCUAAUGUGAGACUUGUCUUGCUAGUCUUGUUAUUCUGGUUCCUGCGUAUCAUAUCAUUUUCAUAUUCUGGCUCAACCAAAAUGUAUACACACUUUCGACUGGUGAUUGGCUCCAGUACGAAAUAUAUAUAUCGACAUGAUCCGUUAGCAAUAAUAAUUUAUUAAGUCCAAACCAUCCGACCAAAAUAUUUAAAUCUGGUUAUUAUUAUUAGUGUUCAUGAUCUUUUAUAUAUCCAAUCACAAUCAUAUUUUUAUCCGACGUGGCCAUGUGGGGCUAAUAAGUAUUGCAUAAAU
rnacentral:lncRNA from 1 species